AUCUGGCCGCGAGGCCCGAGUUGUAAUUUGCAGAGGAUGCCUCGGGGGAGGUGUCGGCCCAGGUCCCCUGGAACGGGGCGUCGCAGAGGGUGAGAAUCCCGUAUCUGGCCGGCCUCCGACCCCGUGUGAGGCUCCUUCGACGAGUCGAGUUGUUUGGGAAUGCAGCUCUAAAUUGGUGGUAAAUUUCAUCUAAGGCUAAAUACCGGCUGGAGACCGAUAGCGCACAAGUAGAGUGAUCGAAAGAUGAAAAGCACUUUGGAAAGAGAGUUAAAAAGCACGUGAAAUUGUUGAAAGGGAAGCGCUCGCAGCCAGACUCGCUCCCAGCUGAUCAGCCGUCUCUCGGGGCGGUGUACUCUGCUGGAGACCGGGCCAGCAUCGAUUCCGGGGGCGGGAUAAAGGCCUGGGGAAUGUAGCUCCCCCGGGAGUGUUUAGCCCCUGGCGCCAUGCCGCCACCCGGGAUCGAGGAUCGCGCUCUUGCUCGGAUGCUGGCAUAAUGGCU
rnacentral:sRNA from 1 species